rnacentral:lncRNA from 1 species
UACGUCUGCACUGCAACCGCGCGCAUGCAUGCAUACACACGUCGCCAUGCAUAUGCAUCCUAGCUACGCUAGCUCUGUAUAUCCGGCAAGCUCUUCUUGAGCUUUAGCCAGGUUUGGCAUGUCAUUUGCUGUUUUGGGCAUGACAUGACCGUCACGGGUUCGUCUACCUAGCUAUAGCUCUACUACACGACGGCACAUGCAAACAGCUGGCUAGAUUCUUCUCCCAGAUUAUGGGAGAAAUGGUGAUGACCAGAAUCUUAUCAAAAUGGCGCGCAAAGGCUGAACCUGCAGCAAAACGUUAAUGCACCUGCUAAUUCCGGGCUGAAACUGCAUUCAUGCUCUAAAAAGGACAAUUCAUCUCAUCCGUAAGAUCGAGCUUCCAUCGAGAUACUGCACAGUUGACCAAACUGCACAUGCACAUGGUGCCUGAGUGAUGCCAUGAUCUAGCUAGCUCUCAUAUUUAUGUAAGCAAUCAUUGAAUAGUAUAUUCAUGGAUUGAACAAGCACACGGUUGUUUAUUCUUUCUGCAUCAACCAUCAACAUGCAUGCCACCGAACUCAUUAGAAAAUGCGGGAGAAAGGGUUUCCAAAGGGCAGGUGGUCACACUGGUAAUGUUAAUUGAAGAUAAGAACGUGCCCCUGGAUAGAAAAGAGCUCCAUCAAAGUCUCAAGUGGAAAGGAGAAAAUUCCAAGUGCAUAAUUGCAUAAAGAAAUCUAAUCUGUGGCGGCUUUUCCUUAAAGCGAUAAGGUGGAGUCUAUCAGCGAUUAUUGCUACGACUGAAAGGCUGGAAUUACGCUAGGUCUGUGUUUUCUUUUUCUCUCUUCAAGAGAGACAGACGUCCGUCGUUUGGCUUUUGAGUAGUUUGACUUUGAUACGUGCAUAAAAGUUUACAGCAACAACGAAUGAGUCAUCCAGAUCGUCAGCUUUCUUUCUUUUUUCCAUUUCAAAGCUCUGAAAAAACACUAUAGAUACAGUGUUUUACCACACAUGAUAUAUAUCGCUAAAUUAAGACAGGGUCCAGUUAAUAUCAUCGUAUUCGUACAUGCAUUAAGAUACUGUAAGAAAUUCGCUGUAAUUUAUCGAACCCAACUUAGUUUCCUGAUCAACUUUUCUAGAACAAAAUCUCAGAUCGAUUUCAUCUAAGGAUUCUAGAUUGAAACGUGUUUUCAUCGAGUCGUUUAAGUCAAUUGGUAGAUAUCUGAUUCUAUGUGGCAAGCAACAAAUUGUUACCGCUAAGACAGUACGAGGAGCCCAGAUUUUUGUUGCUGUCUUUUUUGUUGUUGCUGUCAACGUUAUACGUCACGCUCCUGGUGUGGUGAAGAGCUUUGAUGCUGAUUGCAACCCGCAACUAUGUGUGGUACUAACCAGACAGCAUAUAUAGGAAUCGUCAGAUAUAUAUCAUCAAUAUAUGCUUGAAAUCUCGAUUUCUCGCAAGAGAACGGGACUGCUAAAAUGAGACGCCAGGUACGUAUUAUAUACGACCAUCAUAAAUUAUACUCCGUACUUUGCCAAAAAAAAAUAGACACUCACCGAUGGUUAUAGCAAGCAGCAUGUGCUUUGGGCAGAGAAUACCGGAUCAGGACCGCAGAUUAGGGAGCAACUGCCCCUCUUCAAUUGAUGAUCCGUUUCCAAUAAUAUAGGAAGCGGUGGGCCCAUUGAUCGGUCGGUAAGGGGUAAAGGCGGUAAUGCGCACAGAUAGGGAAGAUUCUUUGAAGGGCCCCUGCGUGUAGUCCUGGUGGGUGUGGCUCUUCCGCAUGCAAACGACUCCGCGUGAGAGAAAACUUCCAUCGUCGUAUCAGCAAUCUAGCAUCUGGAUUUAACGCACCUGACAUGCGUUCAGCAGAGACAGCUCUUUCUCUAGUUUAUUUCCAAGUGUCCUUCGAUCUGGUAGCCGGCAAUCGCCAAGCAGUACUACUUGGGCAGGAGACAUUUUAAAUGUCCAACCUGGCUGUCAGAAGAAAUGACCAGGAGCAUCAUCUUCUGAUACGCUUUGACUUCCUAAAAUAGCGAUAAUUGCAUGACGCGGUAUUCCAUGGUUUCAUGCAUGGUUAAUUAGCUUCCCUUUUUUACCAAAAGAUUAAUUAGCUUCCUUUGUUCAACCUUUUGCCUUAUUUGAUUUAUAUUUUCACUAACUUCAUACUAAAACAGACCAACCCAUAGCUAGAUAUGCUAGCUACCCUAUGCAAAAGGAUAAGAUAAGCUCCAGUCACCCUCAACUCACAGGCUUAAUCUGACCAACAUACUGUACAAAUAAAAAGAAAGAGGGGGCUAGCUCUUGCCAUUCUGAUCGGUCAUUUGGCCACAAAACCAGCCCCAUCCUCCAUUGCUAAUUCUCCUUGUCUUUUUUUCCGCUCACCUCAUUCCACGUGCCAUGUUUGCUAGUA